GUUGCUUCUCGGUUGUAGCACACUCUAAAAGGACAAGUAGCUGAAUUCCAUUGUUAUUAGAACGGUCUGUUGUAGCUACAUAUAAGCAUACUCAAACCUUUACAAUGUGAGUAAUUGAGUUUUGAUCUGUUUUCGUUUUACUCUUUAAAGAUUUACACUUCACUUUCCACUUCGUUGACUGAGCAAGCAAGAUGUGCAGCAGCAGGAGGACCAUGACUGCUGUGGUGACUCCAGCCUGGAUGCUGUUAUGGUGCAGCCUCACAGGGUAGAUGGUGAAGCUGUGCUCAACACCUCGGAAUGCCACAACUGGGUUACAGAGGGCGUGUUCCUCACAGUUUUCUCUCUGUUUCUAGCAGGACAAAGGGUUGCUCAGAUACUUAGAACACCCUGCUAAAAUGCAUAGAUGUCAUCUUAAGGGUAAGAUCCCCAUGUCUGCCUAAGAUUCCCAGGACUCUUACUAGAACUACCUGACAAACAAUUUUUGCCUCUCUUUUUACCCAGUGCUCCAACAAGGACUUGUACUGACAGAGGUUCAGAAAGCUAAAACAAUCAAAUGGUGUAAUUUAUUAGAGCAACAGAUACAACAGUUUCAUGAUUGCCAGUGAUA